rnacentral:rRNA from 1 species
UACGUAGGGGGCAAGCGUUGUCCGGAAUUAUUGGGCGUAAAGAGCGUGUAGGCGGUUCGGUAAGUCGGCUGUGAAAGUCCAGGGCUCAACCCUGGGAUGCCGGCCGAUACUGCCGGACUAGAGUUCGGAAGAGGCGAGUGGAAUUCCCGGUGUAGCGGUGAAAUGCGCAGAUAUCGGGAGGAACACCUAUGGCGAAGGCAGCUCGCUGGGACGUUACUGACGCUGGAGACGCGAAAGCGUGGGGGAGCAAACAGG